GUGUGACUGCGUACCUUUUGUAUAAUGGGUCAGCGACUUAUAUUCUGUAGCAAGGUUAACCGAAUAGGGGAGCCGAAGGGAAACCGAGUCUUAACUGGGCGUUAAGUUGCAGGGUAUAGACCCGAAACCCGGUGAUCUAGCCAUGGGCAGGUUGAAGGUUGGGUAACACUAACUGGAGGACCGAACCGACUAAUGUUGAAAAAUUAGCGGAUGACUUGUGGCUGGGGGUGAAAGGCCAAUCAAACCGGGAGAUAGCUGGUUCUCCCCGAAAGCUAUUUAGGUAGCGCCUCGUGAAUUCAUCUCCGGGGGUAGAGCACUGUUUCGGCAAGGGGGUCAUCCCGACUUACCAACCCGAUGCAAACUGCGAAUACCGGAGAAUGUUAUCACGGGAGACACACGGCGGGUGCUAACGUCCGUCGUGAAGAGGGAAACAACCCAGACCGCCAGCUAAGGUCCCAAAGUCAUGGUUAAGUGGGAAACGAUGUGGGAAGGCCCAGACAGCCAGGAUGUUGGCUUAGAAGCAGCCAUCAUUUAAAGAAAGCGUAAUAGCUCACUGGUCGAGUCGGCCUGCGCGGAAGAUGUAACGGGGCUAAACCAUGCACCGAAGCUGCGGCAGCGACACUGUGUGUUGUUGGGUAGGGGAGCGUUCUGUAAGCCUGUGAAGGUGUGCUGUGAGGCAUGCUGGAGGUAUCAGAAGUGCGAAUGCUGACAUAAGUAACGAUAAAGCGGGUGAAAAGCCCGCUCGCCGGAAGACCAAGGGUUCCUGUCCAACGUUAAUCGGGGCAGGGUGAGUCGACCCCUAAGGCGAGGCCGAAAGGCGUAGUCGAUGGGAAACAGGUUAAUAUUCCUGUACUUGGUGUUACUGCGAAGGGGGGACGGAGAAGGCUAUGUUGGCCGGGCGACGGUUGUCCCGGUUUAAGCGUGUAGGCUGGUUUUCCAGGCAAAUCCGGAAAAUCAAGGCUGAGGCGUGAUGACGAGGCACUACGGUGCUGAAGCAACAAAUGCCCUGCUUCCAGGAAAAGCCUCUAAGCAUCAGGUAACAUCAAAUCGUACCCCAAACCGACACAGGUGGUCAGGUAGAGAAUACCAAGGCGCUUGAGAGAACUCGGGUGAAGGAACUAGGCAAAAUGGUGCCGUAACUUCGGGAGAAGGCACGCUGAUAUGUAGGUGAAGUCCCUCGCGGAUGGAGCUGAAAUCAGUCGAAGAUACCAGCUGGCUGCAACUGUUUAUUAAAAACACAGCACUGUGCAAACACGAAAGUGGACGUAUACGGUGUGACGCCUGCCCGGUGCCGGAAGGUUAAUUGAUGGGGUCAGCGCAAGCGAAGCUCUUGAUCGAAGCCCCGGUAAACGGCGGCCGUAACUAUAACGGUCCUAAGGUAGCGAAAUUCCUUGUCGGGUAAGUUCCGACCUGCACGAAUGGCGUAAUGAUGGCCAGGCUGUCUCCACCCGAGACUCAGUGAAAUUGAACUCGCUGUGAAGAUGCAGUGUACCCGCGGCAAGACGGAAAGACCCCGUGAACCUUUACUAUAGCUUGACACUGAACAUUGAGCCUUGAUGUGUAGGAUAGGUGGGAGGCUUUGAAGUGUGGACGCCAGUCUGCAUGGAGCCGACCUUGAAAUACCACCCUUUAAUGUUUGAUGUUCUAACGU
rnacentral:rRNA from 1 species